GCUAUACAUGCAAGUCGAGCGAACAGAUAAGGAGCUUGCUCCUUUGACGUUAGCGGCGGACGGGUGAGUAACACGUGGGUAACCUACCUAUAAGACUGGGAUAACUUCGGGAAACCGGAGCUAAUACCGGAUAACAUUUGGAACCGCAUGGUUCUAAAGUGAAAGAUGGUUUUGCUAUCACUUAUAGAUGGACCCGCGCCGUAUUAGCUAGUUGGUAAGGUAACGGCUUACCAAGGCAACGAUACGUAGCCGACCUGAGAGGGUGAUCGGCCACACUGGAACUGAGACACGGUCCAGACUCCUACGGGAGGCAGCAGUAGGGAAUCUUCCGCAAUGGGCGAAAGCCUGACGGAGCAACGCCGCGUGAGUGAUGAAGGGUUUCGGCUCGUAAAACUCUGUUAUUAGGGAAGAACAAAUGUGUAAGUAACUGUGCACAUCUUGACGGUACCUAAUCAGAAAGCCACGGCUAACUACGUGCCAGCAGCCGCGGUAAUACGUAGGUGGCAAGCGUUAUCCGGAAUUAUUGGGCGUAAAGCGCGCGUAGGCGGUUUCUUAAGUCUGAUGUGAAAGCCCACGGCUCAACCGUGGAGGGUCAUUGGAAACUGGGAAACUUGAGUGCAGAAGAGGAAAGUGGAAUUCCAUGUGUAGCGGUGAAAUGCGCAGAGAUAUGGAGGAACACCAGUGGCGAAGGCGACUUUCUGGUCUGUAACUGACGCUGAUGUGCGAAAGCGUGGGGAUCAAACAGGAUUAGAUACCCUGGUAGUCCACGCCGUAAACGAUGAGUGCUAAGUGUUAGGGGGUUUCCGCCCCUUAGUGCUGCAGCUAACGCAUUAAGCACUCCGCCUGGGGAGUACGACCGCAAGGUUGAAACUCAAAGGAAUUGACGGGGACCCGCACAAGCGGUGGAGCAUGUGGUUUAAUUCGAAGCAACGCGAAGAACCUUACCAAAUCUUGACAUCCUUUGAAAACUCUAGAGAUAGAGCCUUCCCCUUCGGGGGACAAAGUGACAGGUGGUGCAUGGUUGUCGUCAGCUCGUGUCGUGAGAUGUUGGGUUAAGUCCCGCAACGAGCGCAACCCUUAAGCUUAGUUGCCAUCAUUAAGUUGGGCACUCUAGGUUGACUGCCGGUGACAAACCGGAGGAAGGUGGGGAUGACGUCAAAUCAUCAUGCCCCUUAUGAUUUGGGCUACACACGUGCUACAAUGGACAAUACAAAGGGCAGCUAAACCGCGAGGUCAUGCAAAUCCCAUAAAGUUGUUCUCAGUUCGGAUUGUAGUCUGCAACUCGACUACAUGAAGCUGGAAUCGCUAGUAAUCGUAGAUCAGCAUGCUACGGUGAAUACGUUCCCGGGUCUUGUACACACCGCCCGUCACACCACGAGAGUUUGUAACACCCGAAGCCGGUGGAGUAACCAUUUAUGGAGCUAGCCGUCGAA
rnacentral:rRNA from 1 species